UACGUAGGGAGCAAGCGUUGUCCGGAAUCAUUGGGCGUAAAGCGCGCGUAGGCGGCCCUGUAAGUCCGCUGUGAAAGUCAAAGGCUCAACCUUUGAAAGCCGGUGGAUACUGCAGGGCUAGAGUCCGGAAGAGGCGAGUGGAAUUCCUGGUGUAGCGGUGGAAUGCGCAGAUAUCAGGAGGAACACCAAGAGCGAAGGCAGCUCGCUGGGACGGUACUGACGCUAAGGCGCGAAAGCGUGGGGAGCGAACAGG
rnacentral:rRNA from 1 species